GCAGAUUAGACGGUUCAGUGUUUAUGAGUGCAGGUAGAUCUGAAACAGGACGGUCCACAUGUCAAGCUCCACACACACACACACACACACACACACACAGGUAAAUACACAGGUAAACAGGCAGCAGCAGGUAUCUCAGGUGUUUCUCAGGUGUGUCGGCACAGAGGAGUUUAAAACAAGAUGGCUCCUCCUCCUCCUCCUCCUCCGGUCCCCAAACCUCGAGCUCGUUACAUGAGGGACAGUCUGAGCUCCGCCUCCUCACUGGACAGAGACGAGAACACUGAAAAUCAACAACCAGCUUUCUCUAAUGGAGUUCUCCUGAGCACAGGU